AGUGAACGCUGGCGGUAGGCCUAACACAUGCAAGUCGAACGGCAGCACAGUAAGAGCUUGCUCUUACGGGUGGCGAGUGGCGGACGGGUGAGGAAUACAUCGGAAUCUACUUUUUCGUGGGGGAUAACGUAGGGAAACUUACGCUAAUACCGCAUACGACCUACGGGUGAAAGCAGGGGAUCUUCGGACCUUGUGCGAUUGAAUGAGCCGAUGUCGGAUUAGCUAGUUGGCGGGGUAAAGGCCCACCAAGGCGACGAUCCGUAGCUGGUCUGAGAGGAUGAUCAGCCACACUGGAACUGAGACACGGUCCAGACUCCUACGGGAGGCAGCAGUGGGGAAUAUUGGACAAUGGGCGCAAGCCUGAUCCAGCCAUACCGCGUGGGUGAAGAAGGCCUUCGGGUUGUAAAGCCCUUUUGUUGGGAAAGAAAAGCAGCAGGUUAAUACCCCGCUGUUCCGACGGUACCCAAAGAAUAAGCACCGGCUAACUUCGUG
rnacentral:rRNA from 1 species